GACGAACGCUGGCGGCGUGCUUAACACAUGCAAGUCGAACGGAAAGGCCCUGCUUGCAGGGUACUCGAGUGGCGAACGGGUGAGUAACACGUGGGUGAUCUGCCCUGCACUUCGGGAUAAGCCUGGGAAACUGGGUCUAAUACCGGAUAGGAGCCAUUUUUAGUGUGAUGGUUGGAAAGUUUUUUCGGUGUAGGAUGAGCUCGCGGCCUAUCAGCUUGUUGGUGGGGUAAUGGCCUACCAAGGCGGCGACGGGUAGCCGGCCUGAGAGGGUGGACGGCCACAUUGGGACUGAGAUACGGCCCAGACACCGACGUGAGGGAGCAGUGGGGAAUAGUGCACGAUGGGCGCAAGCCUGAUGCAGCGACGCCGCGGGGGGGAUGACGGCCUUCGGGUUGUAAACCCAUUUCGCUAGGGACGAAGCUUUUUGUGACGGUACCUAGAUAAGAAGCCCCGGCUAACUACGUG
rnacentral:rRNA from 1 species